UUAAAUGCUAGGAAAAAGUAAAGUAACAUGAAGGAACAUUUCAGAGAGGAAGCUAUUGCUGGGAGGCUUCUAUGUAGAAUUUGUGUGAAGUGCGCUUUGGAGCAAAAAUUCGAACGUGUAAUAUAAACACAAGUAGAGUUAUUCAGGAUUCGCCUGUUAUAGCGAGAAGGCAUGUUUGUGCUUUUAGUUUUAAGUGUGGAUGUUUAACAUCCAAAUUAGAGUGGGACCGCGAAGUAACUUCGUCUCUAUU
rnacentral:ncRNA from 1 species